ACUCCUACGGGAGGCAGCAGUGGGGAAUAUUGGACAAUGGGGGCAACCCUGAUCCAGCAAUACCGCGUGUGUGAAGAAGGCCUUCGGGUUGUAAAGCACUUUCAGUGAUGAGGAAGGGGUUAGUGUUAAUAGCGCUGACCUUUGACGUUAGUCACAGAAGAAGCACCGGCUAACUCUGUGCCAGCAGCCGCGGUAAUACAGAGGGUGCAAGCGUUAAUCGGAAUUACUGGGCGUAAAGCGCAUGCAGGCGGCCUGUUAAGUCAGAUGUGAAAGCCCGGGCUUAAGCCUCGGAAUUGCAUUUGAAACUGGCAGGCUAGAGUCUUGUAGAGGGGGUGAGAAUUGAUCAGGUGUAGCGGUGAAAUGCAGUAGAGAACUGAAGGAAUACCAGUGGCGAAGGC
rnacentral:rRNA from 1 species